GUGUUCAGCUAUUGGCCAGCCAGAUGGACUCAGUGGAUCUGUCUCUGCUGGAUGAAACCGCUCUGAGGAGCAUUCGUCAGCUGAAGAAUCGCCUCACCGUCCUGUGUGGAACGGACUAACGCUACCACCUGCUCUCGUUUUGUACAUUACUUUU